UUGCUUUGAGAUGGAUGAAAAUUAUGUAUGGGGACGCUACUGUAUUUAUGGAUUAGCAAGAGACACUGAUGAUGAACUGGUCUUGGAUAUUCCCUCUCGAUAAUCGAAGCAGUUAAAGAUUCGGAUUAAUUCUAGAACCACGUAAAGACUUGGUUGUAAUUACGAAUUGAUUGAACUGGAUAAUAAUUUAACAUUAACUGAACUGGUCUUGGAUUAACAUUUAUUAUUAAUGGUAAAACUAAAACAUGCAUAUAUAGGUGUUUUCAGUAACUAAUCAAAUCGAUCUCAAUUAAGAUAGCCGGAAUUAAAACUAUAAAUUAUGAAUACUUUGACACUUGAAAUCAGAAGUUACUUAAUGUUUGAAUUUCCCAGCACGUAAAUAAUUUGAUUGAGUCCUAUUAUUUGGUGUUUCAAUAUACAAUAUACAGUUUUGCUUGAAAAAGAACAAGUGAAGAAUAUCCGGUUAAAGAUAACUUUAAUCCCACGAUUGUUGAGGGCAACUGACAAAUGCAACAAAGAAAAACUACAAAUUAUGAAUAAGUUGACACUUGAAAUCAAAAGCUACUUAUGUUUGAAUUUUCCAACACAUAAAUAAUUUGACUGAGUCCCAUUAUUUGGUGUUUCAAUAUACAAUAUACAGUUUUGCUUGAAAAAGAACAAGUGAAGAAUAUCCGGUUAAAGAUAACUUUAAUCCCACGAUUGUUGAGGGCAACUGACAAAUGCAACAAAGAAAAACUACAAAUUAUGAAUAAGUUGACACUUGAAAUCAAAAGCUACUUAUGUUUGAAUUUUCCAACACAUAAAUAAUUUGACUGAGUCCCAUUAUUUGGUGUUUCAAUAUACAAUAUACAAUUUUGCUUGAAAAAGAACAAGUGAAGAAUAUCCUGUUAAAGAUAAUUUUAAUCCCACGAUUGUUGAAGGCAACUGACAAAUGCAACAAAGAAAAACUACAAUCUGAGAUGAAAAACUAGAAUUUUAAACUUUUGGAUCAUACAAGUAUCCGAUUCAAUCGAGGGUUUUUCUCUUUCUUUUUUUUAACUUUUGGGUUUUUUUCUGUGCUUUUUCUGCUCAACGAUGCCAUUGGCGUCGGCUUUUAUGGAGAUUCUGAGAUGACCCACGAUAGUUGAGGUGCUGGGGGAGUUGAUGAUGUUGAUAACCCCUCUAUCGAUUGUUGUGAUUGUUAUUGGGGGUUUGGUUGGAUGGGAGUGGAAGCCCAAAUGGGAGAGCAUUGGUUGGCCGAGAGAACUGAAGAGAUUUUUUGUUCCUGGUUUUUGAGAGAGAGCUGGAGAGAUUGAGAGAUCUGUAUU
rnacentral:lncRNA from 1 species